GGACUACUGGCACUCACAAUGAUGCCCAGCUAAUUUUAAAAAUUUUUUGUAGAGAUAGAGUCUCACUAUGUUACCCAUGCUGGUCUCAAACCCCUGAGUUCGGGGAAUCCUCCCACCUUGGCCUCCCAAAGUGCUGAGAUUGCAGGUGUGAGCCACACACCCGGCCUGAAUGUGAUCUUAGUUGGUGUAAUCAAAUUAAGGUGAGGUUAUUAGGGUGGACCCUAAUCUAAUAAGACUGGUGUCCUUUUAAGAAGAGAGAAAUUUGGACCCAGACACCUAGGGAGGAGAAUGCCAUGGGAAGACAGACCCAAGGAAAGACAGCCAUGUGAAGUUGGAGGCAGAGACUUGAGUUUUGCUGCCACAAGCCAAAGAAUGCCAGGGGCUACGAGAAGCUAGAAGAGGUAAGAAAGGAUCCUUGCUGGAGGUUUCUGAGGAAGCAUGGCCCCUUGGACACUUCCAGCCUGGUAAGAGUGAGACAAUAGGCAUCUGUUGUUUACAGUUACCCAGUACAUUACAGCAGCCCCAGGAAAUUAAAGCAACUGAUUUCUCAAACACUUUGGGCUUCAAUGACUUCAUGAAAUGUAGAUGAUAAUGUGUUUAAAGUUGUAAGAUUAUAAGAUUGCUGAGAAGAUUAAAUGUGAUUAAAUGAGACAAGAUAUAUAAAUUCUGGCACAUUUUAGCUAAUAAAUAAAAUGGGUUGUUUGUUGUCAUCAUCCUGAACACCACCAUUACCAUCACCACCACCCCCUUCCUUGGAUAGUCCUCUCUCCUGGAAACAGUUUUUCUAUACUCUUGAAAUUUUUAUACAAAACUUGUAUGAUUUUUAUAACACAAUAGUCAUUUUUUUUAAAC
rnacentral:lncRNA from 1 species